GACUCUUUAGCUCGGUUGGUUAGAGCGCUGCACAAGAAUCACAGUGCUGCAGGUUUGAUUCCUGCCAGGGACU